GUAACUCAGAAGUCUCCUACUGAGUAACUCAGAAGUCUCCGACUGAGUAACUCAGAAGUCUCCGACUGAGUAACUCAGAAGUAUCCGACUGAGAAACUUGGAAGUCUCCGACUGAGAAACUUGGAAGUCUCCGACUGAUAAACUUGGAAGUCUCCGACUGAGUAACUCAGAAGUCUCCGACUGAGUAACUCAGAAGUCUCCGACUGAGUAACUCAGAAGUCUCCGACUGAGUAACUCAGAAGUCUCCGACUGAAUAACUCAGAAGUAUCCGACUGAGAAACUUGGAAGUCUCCGACUGAGUAACUCAGA